rnacentral:pre_miRNA from 1 species
UGAGCUUUCGAGGACGUCCCAAAAUAAGUGUAGCCAUAAGUUUCCGUGUCCAAUUUUGAUCGUUCGUCUUAUUUAAUUUUUUUUUAUAAUUAGCAAUUUUGUUGUUAUAAGAUGAUAAAACAUAAAUAGUACUUUACUCGUGACUUAUGUUUUUAUUUUUUUUUAUAUAAGAUGAAUGAUCAAAGUUAGGCGCUGAAAACCAUGGCUGCACUUAUUUUGGGACGGAGGGA